AUGGAAACCCAAUGCAAAGGCGCAAGCCGGUUGCCCUUCAUUGCUGCUGUCUCUAGUGCACGCUUCACCUCCGUUAUGGCAGUCUUGGAAUCAGACGACGUCUCAGCUGCGAUCUUCCCCGUCCAAGUUAUGAUUGUUGCAAUGCUGACUUCUCUAAAUUUGGAAGAGUUUAACAACAGUUUUUCACCCAAGUACACUGGAGCUGAGGCUAUUUGGGUGGCAUAG